rnacentral:lncRNA from 1 species
CCCGUGUCAUGCCAAGAACCGUUUUUAAAUAAUGAUGCAAAGACCCUGAUGUAAUAUCACCAAAUCAUGGUACGUCACAUCCGGUUGUAUACGAAAGUAGGUCUAAAAAAUAUUCCCUUGAAUUUGACAGUUGUAGAAAAUUAUAACCCUGCAUUUCAAUGCACUUCAAUUUUUCUGAGUCAUAAACAUGUAUGUUGUGUGUCUGAAAGCAUCAUUCCUUUUUGAUUUGAUGGUCUUAUAAAAUAUUUUGGAAAAUUAAGGUUGCAUAGUUACUAAAGCAGGUAACCAGUAAAUAACAGUGUAAAAAUUGGGUUGAUUACUUCCGGUGAUGGUUACUUUCUUAUUUGCAAUGAAAUGAAGUGUGAAAUUUUCACUGUAGCACUGGAAAGGAUAAAAGUUUAUACAUGCAAAGUAUUUAUUUUGUUGAAAUAAAGGUAAAUACUGUACAAUUGUUUUAAAAGUGCCUAUUUAACAAAGAUUAAUAGGGGAAAAUCAAUGGUGGUAUUACACCUAUUUAGGGAAACUACAUGUGCACUCGAGACCUUAUUGUACUUUCAUUUUUAAAAAUUAUUACUAAACAUACAUACAUUGUAAACAUGGACUAUUUGGAAUGGAUUGAGACACAGAAAGCACAUUUGAGGUAAAAUUGGGUGUUUGCUAAGUCAAAUGGGUGGACAGACAAAGCUGUAUUCAGUUAACUGUGUCAAAUUUUAAAUCACCCUUACAGUUUUGUUUAUACAACAUGUGAAUUUUCAUUUCAGUGUUAACCAUAUUCUGAAGAGCAGUCAAUGUACAAUUGUUUUAAAAGUGCCAAUUUAGCAAUGACUAAUAGGGGAAAAUCAAUGGUGGUAUCACACCUAUAAGUGAAUCAAUAUUAAAACCAAAAUAUGCAAUCUUUAAUGACCUGACAACGGUAUCGUAACUAUUUCCCUUCUUAAUAAGUCUGUUUAAAGUUUUGUAACCUUUUGGGGUGAAUACUGACAUUUUUGUGCUUUGUCAAGAAUAUUACCAUAAAAGAUUGGAUGUGAAAUACCUGAACGUAGAAGAUGUCUGCAUGUUGAGUUAUAUUUACGAAUUAUUUCCUUAUACCGAGGAUAAAAUUUAGUAAAUGUUUUGACUAGUUUGUGAUAUCGAAAACCCUGGUGCAAUAAUUUUUCAGUAAUACAUACAUUUCUCUCGCUAAAAUCUAAUACGUU